rnacentral:rRNA from 1 species
CGGCGUGCCUAAUACAUGCAAGUCGAGCGGACAGAUGGGAGCUUGCUCCCUGAUGUUAGCGGCGGACGGGUGAGUAACACGUGGGUAACCUGCCUGUAAGACUGGGAUAACUCCGGGAAACCGGGGCUAAUACCGGAUGGUUGUUUGAACCGCAUGGUUCAAACAUAAAAGGUGGCUUCGGCUACCACUUACAGAUGGACCCGCGGCGCAUUAGCUAGUUGGUGAGGUAACGGCUCACCAAGGCAACGAUGCGUAGCCGACCUGAGAGGGUGAUCGGCCACACUGGGACUGAGACACGGCCCAGACUCCUACGGGAGGCAGCAGUAGGGAAUCUUCCGCAAUGGACGAAAGUCUGACGGAGCAACGCCGCGUGAGUGAUGAAGGUUUUCGGAUCGUAAAGCUCUGUUGUUAGGGAAGAACAAGUACCGUUCGAAUAGGGCGGUACCUUGACGGUACCUAACCAGAAAGCCACGGCUAACUACGUGCCAGCAGCCGCGGUAAUACGUAGGUGGCAAGCGUUGUCCGGAAUUAUUGGGCGUAAAGGGCUCGCAGGCGGUUUCUUAAGUCUGAUGUGAAAGCCCCCGGCUCAACCGGGGAGGGUCAUUGGAAACUGGGGAACUUGAGUGCAGAAGAGGAGAGUGGAAUUCCACGUGUAGCGGUGAAAUGCGUAGAGAUGUGGAGGAACACCAGUGGCGAAGGCGACUCUCUGGUCUGUAACUGACGCUGAGGAGCGAAAGCGUGGGGAGCGAACAGGAUUAGAUACCCUGGUAGUCCACGCCGUAAACGAUGAGUGCUAAGUGUUAGGGGGUUUCCGCCCCUUAGUGCUGCAGCUAACGCAUUAAGCAUCCG